UCUGCUAUAUCCGGCGGAAUUGGCAGACGCACGGGACUCAAAAUCCCGCGGUAGCAAUAUCGUAUCGGUUCGACUCCGAUCAGCGGCACCA
rnacentral:tRNA from 1 species